GGCUGGGAGCGCGAACGCUGUGGGGACUGGAGGUGAGGCGGUGGGGCUUAGGAUGCGCAGGAGCCCAACGGUGGUCCGCAGUCGGGAGAGCAGUGCGGGGCUGCUUCCUCCCCACUUGGUCAAUAAGUCGCCCACGUGUCCGGCCUCGGUGGCUCCUGCCAGCCGGGUGAGCUCUGCAGCCGCUCUCUGUAGAGCCUAAAACCGUGAAAAGGCCGGGCCAGCGCCAAGCUGGGCGUCUUUACUGUAACACACCCGAGCACAGCCCAGCUCGCCUGCCCGCCACCGCCAUCCAGCCCCAGGGAGCCCCACACACUCCUGGAGCUUCAGCUGCCCCCUCUCUAGUGUUUACUUGAGAUCCAGCUUAGUCCUAGAAAAAGGAGCUGAAGCCUUAGAGAGCCUGUAACAGGAAUGUGGAAACUUCUCUCAUCCUAGAUCUCUCCAGCCCUAGAAACUACUGGCUACCCGUCCAGGCGUGGUGGCUCACGCCUGUAAUCGCAACACUUUGGGAGGCCAAGGCGGGUGGAUCACGAGGUCAAGAGAUCGAGACCAUCCUGGCCAACAUGGUGAAACCCGUCUCUACUAAAAAUACAAAAAAGCCGAGUGUGGUGGUGGGCGCCUGUAGUCCCAACUACUCCGGAGGCUGAGGCAGGAGAAUCACUUGAACCCGGGAAGCGGAGUUUGCAGUGAGCCAAGAUGACACCGCUGCACUCCAGCCAGGCCAACAGAGCAAGACUACGUCUCCAAAAAAAAAAAAAAACCUACUGGCUACCUAAGCCAUCCUGCAGUCUGUUUUAACACAGCAACCAGUAAUCCUUUUAAAACCUGUCAGGUCUAGCCGAGCGCGGUGGCUCAUGCCUGUAAUCCCAGCACUUUGGGAGGCCAAGGCGGGCGGAUCACCUGAGGUCUGGAGUUCAAGACCAGCCUGGCCAACAUGCUGAAACUGCGUCUCUACUAAAAAUACAAAAAUUAGCCAGGCAUGGUGGCAGGCGCCUAUAAUCCCAGCUACCUGGGAGGCUGAGGCAGGAGAAUCGCUUGAACACAGGAGGCAGAGGUUGCAGUGAGCUGAGAUCGCGCUAUUGCACUCCAGCCUGGGGGACAAGAGCGAGACUUCAUCUCAAAAACAAACAGGAAACCUGUCAGAUCAUGUGCAAGAAGUAAGCGAAGUGGUGAGAACUGGGUGGGGGAGACACAGCCCUCGACACAGGGAGAGCACCCCGUGCGGGAGGAGCCUUCAGUACAAGAGACUUGGUCUGCCAUCAAGUGGCUCUCUGCACUGUUGACAAUUGUCAGUCAUUUAAGACAGAGGAGGCCGGGCAUGGUGACUCAUGCCUGUUAUCCCAGCAUUUUGGGAGGCCAAAGCAAGUGGAUCACUUCAGGCCUGCAGUUCGAGACCACCUGGGACAACAUGGUUCAUUCACCUGUUGCCAACAACAUGAGGGAGUUUCUCCACAGCCCUUGAUUCCUGAAUUGUUCAACAAAUCAACAGUCACCAAUACAUUGACUUAAGGAGUAAACAAGCAGCUUUUCUCUACACACCACCGGGCACCCCAGGAAGGCGCAGCUCCCUGCUCCACCCCCGCCUCUUGGUGCCUGUAUCCAGCAGAAGGACCCAGCAGGAGGCUGAAUCCAAGCACUGCUCUCAGGCCACUCUAUCCUCAUCCCUGGAUCCUCCAGGGAACAAGAUAAAAAAAAAAAAAUCCUGUUUUCCUGCUUUCCAAAAUGGAGGGCCU